UCAUAACGCGUGAGAAUCUAGCUUCAGGUCGGGGACAACCACUGGAAACGGUGGCUAAUACCGGAUGUGCCGAGAGGUGAAAGGCUUGCUGCCUGAAGAUGAGCUCGCGUCUGAUUAGCUAGUAGGUGGGGUAAGAGCCUACCUAGGCGACGAUCAGUAGCUGGUCUGAGAGGAUGAUCAGCCACACUGGGACUGAGACACGGCCCAGACUCCUACGGGAGGCAGCAGUGGGGAAUUUUCCGCAAUGGGCGAAAGCCUGACGGAGCAAUACCGCGUGAGGGAGGAAGGCUCUUGGGUUGUAAACCUCUUUUCUCAAGGAAGAAGAAAGUGACGGUACUUGAGGAAUCAGCAUCGGCUAACUCCGUGCCAGCAGCCGCGGUAAUACGGAGGAUGCAAGCGUUAUCCGGAAUGAUUGGGCGUAAAGCGUCCGCAGGUGGCUGUGUAAGUCUGCUGUUAAAGAGUCUAGCUCAACUAGAUAAAAGCAGUGGAAACUACACGGCUAGAGUGCGUUCGGGGCAGAGGGAAUUCCUGGUGUAGCGGUGAAAUGCGUAGAUAUC
rnacentral:rRNA from 1 species